rnacentral:tRNA from 4 species
GGGCGAUUGGCGCAGUGGUAGCGCGCUUCCCUGACACGGAAGAGGUCGCUGGUUCGAACCCAGUAUCGCCCACCA